rnacentral:lncRNA from 1 species
UUCCGGAAAAUUUGCAUAAAACUAAAAAGUGAACUUUGUUCUGGGUAAAUUUCUAAGGACUUUCAGCUAGGUUUAAGCAAAUAAAAGUGCACCGUUUAAGUUAUAUAAGUAUCUAAAGAACUGAAUUGCUUUUGAGUCAUCCGAGUUUCGAAGGUGUCAAAUAGAUGGCAUUUGUCCUCUUUGCCAUGUCGGAUUCAUGGCGGAUUGCUUUUUUGUUGUCAAAAGUUUUCCUAUUUUCUCCUGAAAAUUACCGAUGAAUUCCCAAGUAAAUCCAAGUUUAUUUCUGUGCAUUUUGUUUGUGGUGAGAUUUAUUCCGUAUGUGUUCAUAUUCAACGGAAUUAUCAGGAGUUUCUAUUGAUCUUGGUAGAUCACUACCUCAGCGUGGACACCUUGUUUUUUCCGAACAAAUUUUCUACAAGUACCGUUUGACAGACAAGGAAAGCUAUGGGAAACAUAAUGUAGACCAUGGGUAAUCUUCAUGUCUAUUGCAGCGAGAAGUCACGUGAAAAGAUGCAGGGCACAUACCAAUCUAUGUUAUUCAACAUGAUUAACUGUUUGAUGCCAAAGUAAGGUCAAUGCCAAAGGACAGUUAGGAGUCUAACUCAAACACAGAUGGCUUCUGUUGCUGCCUCAGUCACAGGCAGGAAAGUUACUUUCUUUCUUCAGAGAAUUGGAAAGCUGCUGCAUCCUUACUUGACUCAUUUCAUGUUCUGGAUAGCUUAGGAAACCUGAUUGCUGGUGUUAUCAAUCCAUUUAGAUAAUGACCAAGAGGAUGCGGCUUACAGACUGAACAUCUCUUCGAGACGGGUGUCAGCAUCACUUCGACGUGGCGGUUGCAUAACAUGUUCUACGUGGAUCAUCUAUUGUUAUUGGUAUGAAUUUUGUGUUAAUUAACUCGUUUGCUGCCACGCCUUUUUAUUCCCAUGUUAGCUUCUUCUUAGCACCAGCCCAAAUUUUGCCGAAAGGCCCUGGCAGUGCACCAUAGGGACUUCCCCGUUUUCGAUGCGGUGAUGGAUUCUAAAGGUGUGCAUUCCAUGUUCUCCUGUCACCGUGUCAGCCCGGACUUGUCACAGAUGGCAAGUCCCACUUUGGUCAUGGAUCCUUAAGACAUGGCGCGUAGGGAGUAGAAAACAACCUACGUGUUGUAUGGCGUGGCAGCCAAUGGGUUAAUUAUGUGUAUAUGUGUUGUAAAUGUGUUAUGUGUGUAUGUUAUGUGUAAAAAA